AAGGGAAAGCACAGUAAGGCUGGAUUUGCAAAAGUUGGAUUCAGUCGUUGCUGUGGGAAGGGACUGCUACUGUCAGGGUCGCUAAUGAACCACUAAGAACUACAUACAAGGGUCUUUACUGGAUUGGUUCAUCCUCAUGAUCUUCUGUUACUGCUUCUUGAAAAUGCCUUGUUUCUCAACUGACGAGGCGUCCUUUUGAUGUGUCUACAUUCUCUUCCUUUCCGUGUCCACUUUAUGGAGACACUAGCUAAGAAUCCAGCUUACUGAACUCCAGGGCUUGCAAAGGGAAUAUGCUCCUUUAAGACUGAAAUACAAAAUACAUUAUUUCUGGAACCGUGAUAAUCUGAAAGCAGUUUUAAAACUUCCUGAUGUUGUUUACUGUUGUUCUCAAGAUAGAGAAAAAAUUUAUCUUGGAGGCAAAGAUUCUUAGUUUAAAAAGUCAAUGUAAAUUUUAGUUAUUAAAAAAUAAAAACAAAGAUCUCUUUCUACAAUGAAAA